ensembl:lncRNA
GCAAUCGCCAGUUCUUGGCUGAGUUACCAUGGUAAUAAGAGUACAUCAUGGGCAUUACACUUGCUGUCACCAGGGUCAGAUGAGAGGACAGUGCUCUGCGCUCAAUGGUGCAUCUGGGAGGGCUUUGAGGACAAGGAGCAGGGUGCUGCCCUAGAGCUCAUCUGUCUGCCAGCAGGCACCAGGCUGCUCUCACCAAGGGAGAAGGAGAUGACACGGGUGCUAAAUGCCUGCAAGAAGCUGUGACCUGGAACUGAACAGAUGAGCAGCCUCUGAACUGGCUCUGCAAAAUGAGGCAUUAAUGACUGUGUUGCUCAGCAUGAAUCAGAGAGCAGUGUUGGCAGCCAAAGAUGUUCCAGGCUGAUCUACAUACAGUGCAACACACCAGUGUCUCCCCCAUUCAGUGUGUUCAGCUGUGACCGAGUGCCUCAUUGCUCCCCUGCCUAUAAAGGCGAAGUGCAUUGGCAGAGGCCACUCACGCAUGUCCAUGGUGAGGCCCCCUCAGGUCUCCAGCCAGCGUGUGCGAAGCUCACUGGGCCUUUUCAGCUCAGUGCUUGUGAGACCAAAGCAACCAAGGCCUCCUUGAAGAUGUGUUGCCCACCUUUGCUCUUCUCCUUGUUCUUGCCAGCUAUUUGUUGAACUGGACUAUGAAACCUGGGAGACUGGGAGCAGAGCCUGCAGGGCUUGGAGCACCGGGACUGGGGGACAGCCUGCUGAGAAGCACCACCUUUGGGCGACACUUGACCACCCUCUGCAUGAAGGAAAUCUUCCUAACAUCCAAUCUAAACCUCUGCUGGUGCAGCAUGAGGCUGUUGCCUGCCAUCCUAUCACUUAUCACCUGAGAAAAGAGACCAACAACCUCCUUGCUGCAGCCUCCUGCUGGGUGGUUGUACAGAGUGAUGAGGUCUCCCCUCACCUCUUUUCCUCUGUACCGAGCAGCCUUAGUUCCCUCAGCCACUCCUCCUAAGUCUUACUAAAUGAAACAAAGGCCUGUGCAGUCAUGUGAAAGUGUGCACGUGUACAUGCAUGGGCUGUGUGUCAAGGGAUGUCUGGAAGCCACCGGCUGACUCCAUCAGGUGCAUCAUACAACCACAGAAUUACAGAAUUGUAGACUCUUAGAAUGGUUUGGGUUGGAAGGGACCUUUAAGCCCACCCAGUUCAAAACCCCUCACCGUGGGCAGGAAUACCUCCCAACAGACCAGGCUGCCCAGGGCCCAUCCAACCUGGCCUCAAUGCCUACAGGGAUAGGGCACCCACAGCUCCUCUGGGCAGCCUGUGCCAGGGUCUCAUCACCCAAAUAUUAUUAACUCCCUCUUUCAUUUAGCAAAAGUAAGGGAGCUGAGGGAGUAAACGAAUACAGUUCCCGAACUGUGGCAGCAGUGGCCAUUUAUCACUCACCAGAGGGCAGACAUGGGGUAAUGGUUGUCAAAAUGUCCCUGCCUCACAGAAGCCUCCAGCUGGCACUUACUCCUGGAAGCCAGAUUGGUUAUUAACAACGCAAAGCCCACGGGAGGUCAGGUUUGCUGUGCAGCUGGGGGCUGCUUUCAGAAGGUUUGUAACUUGGCUGGGUUUUGGUGGGUUUUCACAUGGGAAGAGACAAGGUCUGAUGCCAACAGCAGCAGCCAUGUGGGAAGUCCUCAAGGAGAAGGUGCUACAGCCCAGUGCUCUUCAUAGCGGCUGCCAUGGAUAUGGCAAUAGCAGAGCAUGUGGAUAUCCAGCAGGGAGAUGUGGAGCAGCACCGUGGGGCUCCUGUGGGUCUGCUGAUACUUGCGAGGAGCUGGGGAACAGCAGGGCUUACCGGGGGGCGGGAGGGAGCGGGAGCUGUGCUGCAGCACGCCAAAUCCUGCUCUGCAUAAUAAGAAGGAAAAU